rnacentral:lncRNA from 1 species
UACUACUUGGUCUUUAUCAGAAGUUAAAGAGGUUCUAAAGUUUGAAGCUGCAGAAUUAAGAGUCUGUCAAUGGAGCAAAAAACAGGCAAGAGGACAAGCCAACCUGAAAACUAUGAAGUCAGAAGUGACAGAGGUGAUGGCCUGGACCAUGUGGGAGGCUCAGGUUCGCAGUUAGACAUGGAGAGCUCAAUGAAGAAUGGCCAGUCCUGCAAGGAGCGCCGUGUCUGGCAGUGAAACUUAUGGAAAGAAGUAACUAUCUUAUGCUUUCACAAGUCCUAUCGAAGAGCCCUGCCUCAAAGCAUUGAGAGAAUACAGAAUAGGAGUGUUUAAAGCAGUCUUGAAGACUCAUUUAGGAAACAUCCCCCUGAGAAGGUAAAAUGAUCAUUUUUGAAGGAACAAGCAAGAAAACGCUGUGCUCUACUUAGCAAGUUAUGGACAGGAUGUUGGACUUCCAAGAAGACAACACUGACCGUGUGUGCUGGGUUUCACAGUUAUUCCUGUAAGUGGUGGUGAGAUUUGGAGACAGUCAUCUUGGGGUAGAGUGGCUAGUGGAUGCCGAGGCCCCUGCAGCCAUCUAGAUGACAGAGGAAGGACUGAGAUCCGGAAGCAGAAUGGAAAAGAAAAAUGUGCCCCCUUUGUUUCAGCAGUGUUUAGGGAAGUUUACAAAUAACUUAAUGAAAAUCUUGCAUCCUGUAACUUGUUACUUAUAAUAUCUAAUACAAGACAUUCACUUGGUUGAACUCCAGUGUUUUGGACCUUUGACAAAGUCCCCUUACGUCUUUUGAUUUUUCCCUCAGGUUCUGUUCCAGCCCUCAGGAUACUCCUGUCUGCUUUUUGCCUUCUUUCCUCAGCCCUGUCUGUGACCUAAAGUUAGGGAGGUGGAGUAAACAUGGAGGUGGUAGACAAACUCUCCAAAGUGGACAGGCAUUUCUGUUCGAGGACAUGGAGAUUUAAUAUACUCACCUCUCAAUGCCACAUUUUGGAAUUGACUAUUAAGAAGGGAAACUGCCUGUUGAAGAAAGAAAAAUAAUCAUACAUUUCUGGGUGGGGGGGUACACUGAGAAAAUGCAUGUAAAACUAAUUCCACUUCCUUUUUUGAGUGCUGUAGAAGCAGUUAUUUUUAUUUUAACAGGAUAUUAUGUUCAAAAUUGGUUUAUAGAACUUAAAAGUGAUGGUAGCGCUGUGUGUGUGAUAUUUAGGCCUAAAUGACCAAACUGUCUAUUUUGAUAACAUU